CCUUGGGACUUUCUCCCUCCCCGGACAGCAAACUGUGGGGGAUUAAAAAGGGGCAGCCAGAUGCACAGACGGGAAAUGGAUACGGCGGAGCAAGGCGCUCUCUCAAGAUGCGCUGUGCGCGCUGGCCCUGCCCUGCCUAAAUUAUUCAAACAGGAUAUUGCCUCAUUGAGGACUGCUUCGGGGCUUAGGGAAUAGGCUAGUGCAAUAACAAAGCUUCCCAUUUCUGUUGAAACUGUACGUCAAUUCUGCCUCCAAACCACCAUGAGGAAAAAAGAAAAUGCAAAUGAGUGAGCAAAGGAUCCGAAGGUGCUAG